GAAAGGGACCGACUGGUAUGGAUUUCAUUUGUCACUUUAAGAAAUAGCAGUUUACUUAAGACAAGUCCUGUAGAAUGGAACCUACCCAGUCUGCAUACUCCGCCUUGCUGUUGUCGCGUCCAUUUGAGAUAUUAUCCCACUCAUAAUAUUUAACAGAAUGUGAAGUAAGCUCCGUACAAAUGAAGACCUCUUGAACCAAGUCAUUCCUCUCUUACUACAUGUACAAACAACCAGUGCAAUUGCGGCUGAAGCUUUAAGGGGGCGUGGCACAGUGCACCAUUGCCGUGGUAUUACUCCCACUCGCCAGGUAUGCUUUAUGUGCUUCGUGACUGAAGAAUAGAAGAUAUUGUGCCGGAUUAAUCAUAUCAUUCUUCCAGACCAUUAUCAUUAUAGAAAUCCUUGACACGCGUGUACAUGUAUAUGAUAUAAGUAAGGAAUACAAGACGAAUAUGGUCUAUUAUGUCAGA